UUUCCGGUUGAUCCUGCCGGAGGUUACUGCUAUCGGGGUCCGAUUAAGCCAUGCGAGUUGAGAGGGGUAAGCCCUCGGCAUACUGCUCAGUAACACGCGGACAACCUGCCCUUGGGUCUGGGAUAACCCCGGGAAACUGGGACUAAUACCGGAUAGAUCAGAGAUACUGGAAUGUUCUCUGGUCCAAAACUCCGGUGCCCAAGGAUGGGUCUGCGCGGCCUAUCAGGUAGUAGUGGGUGUAACGUACCUACUAGCCAGCGACGGGUAAGGGUUGUGAGAGCAAGAUCCCUGAGAUGGAUUCUGAGACAUGAAUCCAGGCCCUACGGGGUGCAGCAGGCGCGAAAACUUUACACUGCGGGAAACCGCGAUAAGGGGACCCCGAGUCCAGCACCUAGUGCUGGCUGUCCCUACUGUCUAAAUAACAGUGGUUAGCAAGGGCCGGGCAAGACCGGUGCCAGCCGCCGCGGUAACACCGGCGGUGCGAGUGGUAACCGUCAUUAUUGGGUUUAAAGGGUCCGUAGCCGGCUUAUUAAGUCUUUUGGGAAAUCUGGCGACUCAAUCGUCAGGCGUCCAAGAGAUACUGGUAGGCUUGGGACCGGGAGAGGUGGGAGGUACUCCAGAGGUAGGGGUGAAAUCUCGUAAUCCUUGGGGGGACCACCGAUGGCGAAGGCAUCCCACCAGAACGGGUCCGACGGUGAGGGACGAAAGCUGGGGGCACGAACCGGAUUAGAUACCCGGGUAGUCCCAGCUGUAAACGAUGCUCGCUAGGUGUCAGGUGCGGUGCGACCGCAUCUGGUGCCGCAGCGAAAACUUGAAGCGAGUCACCUGGGAAGUACGGUCGCAAGGCUGAAACUUAAAGGAAUUGGCGGG
rnacentral:rRNA from 1 species